CAUGCUUUAUAUCACAUAUGAUCAUAUAUAUAUAUAACGUAUGCAAAUAGGUUAUUGAUUGCUAUAGGAAUAAUCACAUAUAAUCGUAAUGCAUAAUUUACCCCUUUGCUAAUAUAAUGUUGUAUUUCAGAGAUGCAUCACAUGGUUUAUCAGAACAGGAACUCAGUCUGCAAAAAACAACUAUUUUAGGACAGCUGAAAGUCCCUAAGAACCACAGAACCAGACAGAUGCCAGACGCCAGGACGUCACAAGAAUAAUAUUACAUAUUAAUGAGAAUGUUGAAUAUUAAUGAAUAUUAAUGAGCAUGAUCGUGUGUUCGGUCAUGCGCUCUUGAAUGUACUUGUAAUCCAUAUAAAAACACACGGCUUGCAAUAAAAAAGCAGAAGUAACGGUCUUCACCCUGAGACACAAGUCUGAGUGUAGAUUAUUUACGUUCUUCAGUUUGUACAAACGCUUCUUAUCUAAUUUGGCUCAGGAAGCAGAUAUCAGACACUCCGUGCACUUGGCUCGGGUCCAAAACAAUUGGCGCCCAACGUGGGGCUUCGGGCUUCCUGAUUCGGGCCAAGCCGAUCGAGAGGGGACUGGGACGGAGACCAAUGCGGACGGGUGCAGAGACUGAUCACCUCUGAGAACGAGAUGCAUCACAUGGUUUAUCAGAACAGGAACUCAGUCUGCAAAAAACAACUAUUUUAGGACAGCUGAAAGUCCCUAAGAACCACAGAACCAGACAGAUGCCAGACGCCAGGACGUCACAAGAAUAAUAUUACAUAUUAAUGAGAAUGUUGAAUAUUAAUGAAUAUUAAUGAGCAUGGUCGUGUGUUCGGUCAUGCGCUCUUGAAUGUACUUGUAAUCCAUAUAAAAACACACGGCUUGCAAUAAAAAAGCAGAAGUAACGGUCUUCACCCUGAGACACAAGUCUGAGUGUAGAUUAUUUACGUUCUUCAGUUUGUACAAACGCUUCUUAUCUAAUUUGGCUCAGGAAGCAGAUAUCAGACACUCCGUGCACUUGGCUCGGGUCCAAAACAAUAGUA